rnacentral:rRNA from 1 species
CGUAGGUGGCAAGCGUUGUUCGGAAUGACUGGGUGUAAAGAGCGCGCAGGUGGUUGAUUAAGUCUGAUGUGAAAGCCCACGGCUUAACCGUGGAGGGUCAUUGGAAACUGGUCGACUUGAGUGCAGAAGAGGGAAGUGGAAUUCCAUGUGUAGCGGUGAAAUGCGUAGAGAUAUGGAGGAACACCAGUGGCGAAGGCGGCUUCCUGGUCUGUAACUGACACUGAGGCGCGAAAGCGUGGGGAGCAAACAGGAUUAGA